AUUUUUGACAACAUGUAGCUUGCCCAUAUUUGUCGGGGGUGCUUCUUUGUUGGCCGUGCUCGCCAAUCGCGCCGUUUUGGGCAUAGCUCCCGUUGUCGAUGCUAGCAGUGCUGAUUUGUUAACACUUGGAUUGGCAGUGUCUAAUAUAUUAACUGGUCUGGUAUGGCUGACAAUUCGCCCUACAUCUAUCUCUGUGGUAAAUCCUCAAGGCGUGGAAUGCCGGUUUAUAUGUUCCCACCUUCCUGAUUUUGUAGUUUCCGAGCUAUUAUGUUACUGCCUUUUCUGCUUACGUUACUACUACUGUACUAGAACAGAUUUUAAGAUGGAAUAUUAGGUGCUUCCUUGUCAGUUGUUUGUUAAUCAUCAACAUUUUUAGGAGGAAUCGGGAAAUAGGUAAUGUGUUUUUGGCUAUUUAUCAUUGUUUUUGUUGCUCAACUUUAGGGCAUGGGAAUCUCUGUCAGGUGUUACAUGCUGCAGGUCUCUAGUUGUUAUUUAUGAUUACUGUUGUAUCCUACAAAUUGGCUUGGUAGCUUAAUCUGUCGAUAAUGAAGCACUGUCUGUCGAUGCUGCCGAGUUGAUGCAAGGAUCACUUUACAGUGCUGCUAUAAAAUCUGCAUCUCGUAAGUAUUUUCCAUGAUCUGUUAGCUUUCUUUGUU